AGCUUUGCCCAAAAGCGAUAUCGUAACCAAUGACAUUCUACCGAGGUGCGAUUAUUGCUAGUUGUAAUAAUAAUAGUUAUACUCGCGGCCAUUAUUUAGAUAUUUAGCUGCAUAUACAUUUUAAAUUAAA
rnacentral:snRNA from 1 species